rnacentral:lncRNA from 1 species
UGACGUAUGUUUGGUUGUCUGUAUUAACAUACUUUUUUCUUAACAAAUAAAUGGUCUUUCAUAAUGUGAGAUAGGUAAAUGAAGAGGUUAAAUGGUAAGUUCUUCAGUAAAAAUAAUUAGCUUUUGAAAUCUUACGAUGUUAAUUUUUCUUUAUGAGCAUAUGAAACUUACUCUUUCCAUGCCCCCCCAUCCAGAUGAGGAAAAAAAUGAGGAAUUGCAGGCUGACCUACACUUGGAAGUCUAUGAGGAUCCCGUUGAUCCACAAGUAUGAGUGCAUGAUUGUUCCU